GAUAGCAGCAGAGUGGAUGCACCACAGGCCAGCAACCAGGAGGUCCUGGGUUCGAAUCCCAGGCCUGUCC
rnacentral:tRNA from 1 species